rnacentral:lncRNA from 1 species
AUUGGUAAUGACAGACAAUCGAAAAUUCCAAAUGAGGUGUUGCGAAGUGAUGGAUCCGUUACAAAUAACAUUGACGAUGUUUUACAAAAAUGGAAAGACAGUUUUCAUGGUUUGUUGAAUUCCGAUCCAGAUAACAACAAGAAUUUUGGUGUUGAAAAUUUAAUUGUAAAGAAUGAUAUUGUUUGUAAUGAUUUAGAUGAUUAUAUAUCUUUUGAUGAAGUUUAUAAGGUAGCAAUGGCAGCCAAAAAUGGGAAAAGCCCAGGUGUAGAUUGUAUUCAGGCAGAAUUAUGCAAAAAAUUAUGCAGUUAUUUUUACUUUAACUAAAUUGUUUAAUAUUUGUUUUAAAUUUGGCAAAGUUCCAAAUAUGUGGAACAAAGGUAUUAUUACUCCUAUACCUAAAUGUUCAACUACAGAUCCUAGAGAUCCAUUAUCAUAUAGAGGUAUUACCUUAGCACCUUGUGCAUAUAAGCUUUAUUGUGGCGUUUUAAAUAAAAGGUUAACUGAGUGGUUAGACAAUAGGGAUAUAAUAAAUGAUGAACAAAACGGGUUUAUUAAAGGUAGAAGUACAAUAGAU